CUCUGUCUUCCCUGCUAAAAGUAGUUCAUUAUAUAGAGAAUAGGAUUACAUUAGGGACUCACUCCUGGGUGCUGAUUUUCCCUGUAGAAUCGGACACUGAUGACCUUUCUGGGAAAGGUGAUUUCCAGGGCCCAGAGGCUGAAUCCCUGAACCACAAAGGAGGAGGAGAGCAACAACAACAGCACGUGCAGGCCCAGCAGAUCAACGGCCUGGCUCCACUAUCAGUCAGGCCACCUGACACGCAGCCUGUAGUGCCUCUUGUGGCAGAAGACCAGGACUGCAGUUACCACUACACUGACACCAGCCAGACUCAGCUUCAGCAGCAUUCCUCCCCUCAGCAGCCAACACUGAGCUGUCCUACAUCAAACAGGGAAGGUGGGAUGAUGAAGGAGGGCCCUGGUUUUUGUUUAGCACACUCACUCAGAUUUCUAGUGAUUUCAUAAACAACUUAUUUGAUUUGCUCAUUUCAUUUAUCUCUUUGUGACUUAUUUUGUGAAUCUUCUUACAUGUUGGUGCUUACUGUAAUAUUGGAAACCUCAUACUUUGAUUGGACUGUGUUCUAGGGGCGGAGCAUUCUUCUGGGCUGGGCAUGGUGAGUCCUAAAGAGUUUUGUUGGGUACCAAACCUACAUUUCAUGUUAUACACAAACACAUCCAAAUAAGCCAACGUUUACUUUAAUCUUUGUAGCUAAAGAUUUUCAGUCUGGAUCCCUGGCUGGUUGUGUAAGUGGUAUUAUAUUUGCUAUGUGAGACUUUUUUUUUUGUCUACAUGUACAAGCUCAAUUUCAUCUAUUGUCCAUCUAAAUAAAUAAACAUAUAAUUAAAUAAUUAAAUCAAUUUAUAUCAAUGGUGUGAGGAGAGUAUUUGUGAGACUCAAAUGAGUCAGAUUGCUGCCAGUCUGAGGACACAUACUGUAGACCAUGUGUCUGCCUGUGUUGAUGGACAUCUCAACUGACCUAUCUGUCCCAUGCAGACUGGGAUACAUUUUAAUUCUGGGAUGAUGGCAGGGGAUGUUCAGCAAUCUGGUCAGACGUAUGAUUAUGUAGGCAAGCCUGCAUGGCACCAGGGAGGGCACCGGUCCACCAUCACGCAGGAGGGCAAGGCCUUAGAGCCGGACCAAAUCCAACCAAAACAGAGCACCAAGUCAGGGUGGUUUAGUAGCUGGUUCAAACCCAAACCCAAAGAGGAACAAAGUGUUGCGUCUCUGGAUGACGACUCAGCAGAACCAGUUCCCACUAUGGAGGCUCCUCCCACCCUAUGUUCUUUCCCUCCCCCACCUACUAUCAACACCCUUGCAGCUAAUUGUCCCACACAGCCUACAUCUGCUGGGAUCAACCCCUUUUCUCGAAAAGCAGGUGAGUACUACAGCAGGCAGCAUUGGGCAAAACACUUCUCUUUUGGUGAAUAA
ensembl:lncRNA